rnacentral:rRNA from 1 species
UACGGGGGGGGCAAGCGUUGUUCGGAAUUACUGGGCGUAAAGGGCUCGUAGGUGGCCAACUAAGUCAGACGUGAAAUCCCCAGGCUCAACUUGGGAACUGCGUCUGAUACUGGAUGGCUUGAAUUCGGGAGAGGGAUGCAGAAUUCCAGGUGUAGCGGUGAAAUGCGUAGAUAUCUGGAGGAAUACCGGUGGCGAAGGCGGCACUCUGGGCCGGUACUGACGCUGAGGAGCGAAAGCGUGGGGAGCGAACAGG